UAAUACGGAGGAUGCAAGCGUUAUCCGGAAUGAUUGGGCGUAAAGCGUCCGCAGGUGGUUAUACAAGUCUGCUGUCAAAGCGCAAGGCUCAACCUUGUAAAGGCAGUGGAAACUGUGUGACUAGAGAGUGAUAGGGGCAGAGGGAAUUCCCAGUGUAGCGGUGAAAUGCGUAGAGAUUGGGAAGAACACCGGUGGCGAAAGCGCUCUGCUGGGUCAUAUCUGACACUGAGGGACGAAAGCUAGGGGAGCGAAAGGGAUUAGAUACCCCUGUAGUCCUAGCCGUAAACGAUGGAAACUAGGCGUUGUUCGUAUCGACCCGAACAGUGCCGGAGCUAACGCGUUAAGUUUCCCGCCUGGGGAGUACGCUCGCAAGAGUG
rnacentral:rRNA from 1 species